rnacentral:rRNA from 1 species
GAUGAACGCUAGCUACAGGCUUAACACGUGCAAGUCGAGGGGUAACGAGAGGGAAGCUUGCUUUCCUUGUCGACGACCGGCGCACGGGUGAGUAACGCGUAUCCAACCUGCCCCCAACUAGGGAAUAACCUUGCGAAAGUAAGACUAAUACCCUAUAAUUUCCUCAGAUGACAUCUGACGAGGAAUAAAGAUUUAUCGGUUGUGGAUGGGGAUGCGUCUGAUUAGCUUGUUGGCGGGGUAACGGCCCACCAAGGCAACGAUCAGUAGGGGUUCUGAGAGGAAGGUCCCCCACAUUGGAACUGAGACACGGUCCAAACUCCUACGGGAGGCAGCAGUGAGGAAUAUUGGUCAAUGGGCGGAAGCCUGAACCAGCCAAGUAGCGUGCAGGAUGACGGCCCUAUGGGUUGUAAACUGCUUUUAUACAGGAAUAAAGUUAGCCACGUGUGGUUAUUUGUAGGUACUGUAUGAAUAAGGACCGGCUAAUUCCGUGCCAGCCGCCGCCGUAA